ensembl:snoRNA SNORD10 small nucleolar RNA, C/D box 10
GUUUUAUUAAACUUGUGCUUGUCAACUGAUCCCAGAAUCCCCUGGGGCUCCCUGUGGCCUGGGUUGGCCUUCUGUCAGCUGGUUGUUACUGGGCCUCAGGGCUCUGGGGGCAUGAUCUGACUGUCACCCUGAAAAC